ACGAAGGGGGCUAGCGUUGUUCGGAUUUACUGGGCGUAAAGCGCACGUAGGUGGACAGUUAAGUGAGGGGUGAAAUCCCGAGACUCAACCUCGGAACUGCCUUUCAUACGGGCUGUCUUGAGUUCGGAAGAGGUGAGUGGAAUUCCAAGUGCAGAGGUGAAAUUCGUAGAUAUUGGGAAGAACACCGGUGGCGAAGGCGGCUCACUGGCUCAUUACUGACGCUCAGGCGCGACAGCGUGGGGAUCAAACAGGA
rnacentral:rRNA from 1 species